CGGUGUCACUGACAUGCUCCAUGUGUGUAGGAAAAACAAAAAAGAAAAGAAAAGACUCCGGCAGGGGAAUGCGAAUUGACUUGGAGUUGGAGAAGCUAUCUAUCUAACGAUCUGGGCAAGAUAAAAGAAGACACUGAUCGCUACUGCUCGAGCUUGUUGUGCCUUCAAAUCCAGGAACCAGAAUAAUUGUCUAAUUGAAAUUGCAUAGCUUUUGCUUCAGCGGAAAUGGAAACCACAUCCUCUAAUACCAAAAAAGAAGUGGACAUGUCUAAGUUGGAAAAACAGAAAGAUGACAUAAUGAAUAUGUUAAGAAAUGACAAUCUAACAAGCAUUGUUUUGGUUGGAGAUGCUGGAAUAGGCAAGACCUGGAUGGCGAGGGAGAUACGUGCCCGUGCAAUCAGAGAAGGCUUGUGUUAUGAAACUAUUUGGGUCUCUAUGAAUAUAAAACACGAUGAACGGUCACUGCUUGAAAAUGUUGCUCAGCAGUUAGAUCUGCACUCAACUUUUCAGGAAUGGGAAAAUGACGACGGAAAGGUGGAAGAAGAGGAGGACUUGAAUAGCCUGAGGCAAAGAAUUUCUGCAAAGCUUGAAGAAGAGAAAUCUGCAAUGCGUGAAGGAAAGAAAUGGCUUCUUUUAAUUUUGGAUGAUGAGGGAAAUAAGAUGGAUAAAAAAGAUGUUAUAAAUGAAUUUUCCAAGUACCAAGACUCGUUGAAGGUUCUAAUCUUCAGAAGAAAGAAUGAUGAGGCCCCAAAUACCCAUUCUGAGGAGAUUGAGACUGAACCAUUGAUGAUUGAACGAUUUUCUGAUAUUGAGUCUGAGAUUUUGUUGAGGAAAAUAGUUCAGAACAAGCUUUCCAGUUUAAAUGGUUUUGUAGCGCACUCAGCAACUAUUGCCAAAAAGUGUGCAGGUUUGCCUGCUGCAAUUAAUGUCAUGGCAGAAGCCUUUAAUUUUUUUGAGGAACAUAAUUCUGGGGGUUCCUCAUUGGAAGCUGCUUUAGAUUAUGCAGUGAACAACUCAACACCAAUAUUACGGCUUGCAUAUGACAUGCUGCCAAGUGAUGUGAUGAUUAACUGCUUUUGGCAUAGUGUGAAAUUCUUUGGCAAAUUUGGUGGUGUCCACUACAAUGAGUUGAUUGCACAUUGGAUAAUUGAAGGAUAUUUUUGUCCCUUUGAUCAUAUUGAGAAGGCUUAUGAGGAGGGGCAUUGUGUUUUAAUGGAGCUUAUAGAUCGCGGCUUGUUGAAGAUACAAGAGGCCAAUGUCGUAGUUGUGGAAGGAGCAAUGCUGAGUAUGAUUGACCCUCGCCGACGUGGAUUUGCUGGAACAGCAAGUCUGGGACUCCCCAGUGUGCUUGAGGAUGACAAGUGGAAUCUUCUUCAGAGAAUCACUUGGACUGAUGGUAUGAUAAAAACAUUGUGCGGUAGCAGGAAAGAGGAAAAGGUCUCCACUGUCCUGAUUGAUGGAAAUCGCUUCUGCAGAGAGGUCCCUCAAACAUUCUUUCAUGGCAUGGAGGGUCUCAAAGUUCUCUCCUUUCUGUAUCCAAGGCUCAAAAUGUUGCCGCAGUCCUUAUCUCACAUGGCGAAUUUGCUUGUUCUUGUCCUCAGGAGCUGUAAGCUACUGGAGGACGUCACUUGCAUUGGGGAGCUUAAAACAUUAAUUGCUCUGGAGAUAUCUGGUGCAAACUCCCUUGAGGGCAUCCCAGAAGAUUUUUUUGAGCAAAUGCCUCAACUUCGAAGCCUUAACCUUUGUGGACUUCAGAUUAAAACAUUACCUUCCAGUCUCUCCAAUCUGACUGAACUGCAAUGGCUCAUCCUUAGCCAAUGUUCUGGCUUAACAACAGUGCCAAUACUUAGAGCAUUGAAAAACCUUGAGAUGAUUGAUCUUUCUGGUGCUGCCUCUUUCAAGAAAUUCCAAGACAAGAACAUUGAUUUUCUCCAGAAUCUUCGGAUGCUUGACCUUUCUGAUACUCAGAUUGAAAAAUUGCCAAUUUUGCACAAUCUUAGUCACCUGACCCGACUCUUACUAAGAGGUUGCAAAUGCCUUACCAAAUUGCGGAACCUGCAACAAUUAUCUUGUCUCCAAGUGCUUGAUCUCACUGACGCUAUUAUGAUAAAGGAGAUUCAAGACGACUCCUUCGAAAAUAAGGAAAGUCUUAAAAUCCUUGAUCUAUCAGGAACAGGAAUCGGUCAAUUGCCCGUCAAACUUGGUAACAUCUCUUAUCUCAAUUUGAGUGGUUGUCUUGAGCUUCAGAAAGUGCCCAGCUUAAUGGCACUCAUAGACCUUGAGUCACUUGAUCUUUCAGAUGCCGUUAAGUUUGAAAAUUUUGAAGAUGAAUCCUUUGAACAUCUGGAAAAACUUAGCUAUCUCAACCUCUCAAACACAAUGGUUAAAGAUCUACCAUCCCUCUCCAACCUUAGUAACCUUCGUAAGGUCUUGCUAAAGGGUUGUACAUUACUAAAAAUUCUGCCCACAAUGGAAGGAUUGAUGAGACUAGAGGUGCUUGAUCUCUCCGGCUGCAAGCAUAUGGAGAAGUUGCCGCCCUUGAAUGUCUUUAAGAAAUUGGAGGUUCUUGAUCUUUCUGAUUGUAGCUCUCUGAAAGUAGACGAAAAUGAGUCCCUUGUGCACAGUUCUUGUCUUCGGGAGCUCAACCUUGAUCAAUGUGGUGCAACCUCUUUGAGUGAAAUUGCAGCUAACUCUUUGGAGCAGCUAACUCAUCUUCAAAUUCUCAAGCUAUUUGGAAUUAUGAAAGAUAUUCCAUCAUUCUCCAAUGUUUCAGAACUUACCAACCUCAGUCAACUAUCACUAAAAGGUUGUUCGGGCUUAAAAAAUGGGCAGCCUUUGGAAGUUCUUUCGAAACUUGAGGUUUUGGAUCUUUCUGGAACUGCAUUUGAAUCUCUACCAUCACUUGGUACCUUCAGCAGCCUCCGCCAGCUCUUCUUAAGAGAUUGUUUGUGGGUACAAGAAUUGCCUACUCUGAAAUCAUUUAUUCACUUAGAGAUUCUUGAUUUGUGGGGGACCCAAAUAAAAGAAUUCCCCUAUGAGAUUGCGGAGUUGACAUGUCUAAAGCACCUUGAUCUGCCUAGCUUGAAAACUAUCCAAGUGGACUGGACUAUGAUCAAGUGUCUACCAGCAAAGGUGAACUGGGAAGAAUGUGAUCUUAGUCCCUCCGUAUUACAUGCAGAUUGUGCCCGGCCUUCCAUAACUGUGAACGAUACCAAUAUUUUCCUUUUCUUGGAAAAAGACCCUAACUUUUGGAAGGCACUCUCAAAACAAUUGUACUUAUCAGUGUGCCUUGUUGAUAAACAGGCAAAAGGCCAAGAUGCAUAUUGCCUCCAAAAUCAACUUUUACUUGGAAAUAUCUACUUCCAGACCAGACAUUUUCCUUAUUCUGAUAAAAAUAACCAGUGCUUGGAAAUCCAUGGAUCUGCUGAAACUAAUGGUUUUCCUGAUGCUAUCAGGAAAGUCCUCAUGGAUGCUGAGUACAUAUCUUUGGUUGAAAAUGCAUCUGGCAGUUGCUCAUCUGCUUUGGGAACAAUUGGCGUGAAGAACAUGAAAGGUUGUUGGCUGGAGAGUUGCACUGAAAUGAAGAGCAUCUUUUGUGGAGACAAGGGAGAUGUUGAAUUGGGGGCAAAUCUAGAGAUUCUAUGGAUUUCUAACCUUUCUAAAUUAGAAAGUGUCUAUAGGGAAAAUGUGCGGCUGGAGAGUUUUCAGAACCUCAAGUGUUUGCAUUUAGAUUGUAUCCCAGCUCUUGAGAAUCUUUUCCCUCCUUCCCAAAUGCCAGUAAACCUAGAAGUCCUUCAAAUAAGAUUCUGUGAUAAGCUGCGGACUCUGUUCAAGCGGGAUGAAUCAUGCAGGUGUACAUUGGAAAAAUUGGGAACAUUACAUUUGUUAGAGCUACCCAAGCUUACAAAAAUUGGGAUUAGAUUGCCGUCUCUAGAAAAGUUCGAUGUCAGGGAAUGCCCACAACUGAAGGACACAAAAGAAGAUCUCAAACUUGGCUCUUGUGCAUGUGGAAAGUGCUGAAAUUGAGGAGAACUGCCUUUCUACCUCUGGAAUCAGGGAUAUGCUCUCAACCACAGAAGCUCUUUCAUGGUUUAAUUUGCAGAGUUAAACCAGAGUAGGUGAGUUGUGGUCAAAAAGACAGAUUGCAGCACAUAUUUGGUUCUGAGAGAUUCACAUAUUUAAACAAACAGCCUUUAGAUAUCAGCAGGUGCCAAUCUUUUUUCUGAAGGCAUCUUUAGCUCCAGAACCGACAUAUAUGAGAAGGCAUAAAACAAAAUCUCAGCCGUUGGUUGCAGUUAUUCAUCGAUCUACUUCUUUACUCCAUCCUUGAACAUUGUAUGAACUGCCGAGGUUAUUGGUUUGCAGUUGAUAGUUGUGUUAACAUUUUGAAGGUCAGGAGCCCGAGCAGGACUUGCAAUGAAUCCAUAUCGUUAAGGAAUUCUUCCUGCUUGGAGUAUUCACGCUCAGCAAUACUUGCACUGCGUAUUUCAAGCCUCAUAAGCCAUAAGUCCAGGGGUCCUAGACCUGAACCGGGAAUCAUUCCUUGUAGAAGCACCCCAAUCUCCCAGUAAGAAAGAGCUUCUUGCUACUUCCAUGUGACCAUGUCCUCAACAAUUGAUUUGGAUCGGAGAUGAUCAACAAGAGAUGUAUAUUCACUUGAUCAUGCAUUCCCAGUCUCUCAUUUAGGAAGUUGGAAAAAAUCAUGAGAAGCUUUCAUGUAGAAGAAACUCAACUUCUUCCUUCCAACCAACCAUGGUGGCUGAUCAUACCGAGCCAAAGGUGUCACACCCAUCUCGUUCAAGCAAGCAAGGUAUGAUCAGUUGAAGGAUUAAGUUGUAGUUUGAUGCGUGAAUGUUAUAAAUUGAGAUCGUUGUAAAGAAAUAGUCGGUUGUUUGACAAGCAAUUGCAUGUGCAGCUCCUUCUUUCAAAAUGGGCAAAUUAGAUUCGGCUCGAACCCCGUAUUCUUU